UCACAGGCAGUGGUGCCGGCAGCAUGAAGCCUUCUCUCCCCCUCCUCUGUGACAAGCAGUGUACCGACCUAAAGGGGGUGGAGCUACACGGAACCAGUCACCAGGCUGCAGUCUGCAACACAGGAGGAUAACAUGAUACAGCUCUGGCCACCAAGCCUUCUUUAAUAUGAAACAAUGAACCUAGAAGCUGCUGUUACUAUGGUGAUGGGAACACUAACGCCCUGCACUGAACUGCAGGAACGUCAUUCAUGUGCGACGAUAACGGGAGCCAUAACCCGCUUCCGGUGGGGCGGAGUAUGACGGCACCCGGCCAGCACAGCGUCCAUGCACUGGGUGAUAUGCUUUAUAAGACCACCAUAGGUUUUUCUGUGAUUUGGGGAGUCCCAUGGACACACACAGUCUGUAAAACAGCACAGUAAUAUUUCUGUAUACAAGCGAGCCAAUUUCAGCACGGUCUAGGAUCAGUACUCGGCUCUAACCUCUGCUAUUCAUCACUGGGCUGUCCAAUAAAAGUAGGAGGAUAGAGAUAAGAGAUGUUUUUGUAAGUGACAUGCCCAUGUCUACAAAUAGAUUUCUAAUGCAUGCCAGGAUGAGCUGACAA